GGCCCCAUCGUCUAGCCCGGUCUAGGACGGCAGGUUCUCAUCCUGUUAACUCCGGUUCGAAUCCGGAUGGGGUCA
rnacentral:tRNA from 1 species